rnacentral:rRNA from 1 species
GACAUGGGGGGAACCCUGAUCCAGCCAUGCCGCGUGUGUGAAGAAGGCCUUUUGGUUGUAAAGCACUUUAAGCGAGGAGGAGGAGCUCUUGUGUUAAUACCCAAGAUGCUUGGACGUUACUCGCAGAAUAAGCACCGGCUAACUCUGUGCCAGCAGCCGCGGUAAUACAGAGGGUGCAAGCGUUAAUCGGAUUUACUGGGCGUAAAGCGCGCGUAGGUGGCCAAUUAAGUCAAAUGUGAAAUCCCCGAGCUUAACUUGGGAAUUGCAUUCGAUACUGGUUGGCUAGAGUAUGGGAGAGGAUGGUAGAAUUCCAGGUGUAGCGGUGAAAUGCGUAGUAGAUCUGGAGGAAUACCGAUGGCGAAGGGCAGCCAUCUGGCCUAAUACUGACACUGAGGUGCGAAAGCAUGGGGAGCAAACAGGAUUAGAUACCCUGGUAGUCCAUGCCGUAAACGAUGUCUACUAGCCGUUGGGGCCUUUGAGGCUUUAGUGGCGCAGCUAACGCGAUAAGUAGACCGCCUGGGGAGUACNGUCGCAAGACUANAACUCAAAUGANUAGACGGGGGCCNGCACAAGCGGUGGAGCAUGUGG